AUUUAAGUAAUUUAAUAUAAAAUCUUGAUUUGUGGUAUCAAAAAUGUAAAAAUUUACCUUAAAUU
rnacentral:tRNA from 1 species